GCACUUAGCGGGCACCCGCACCGGCGCCAGAAUGCAACUGCAAGACAAUUUAAGGUGGACCGGAAAAUUCAAAUAAGGAACUAGCGAACAGGAAGCAUCUUAAGCCUCGUGUAUCCGCGGUGAUGGGGAGGAACGUGAUUCUGUUCAGGGUUUUCGGGAGUCUAUCAGAGAUGCAGGGCCGAAGUGUGGUGUUCUACGUUUUCUACCUGUGGAGCUGCAUGGAGGUUUUCAGGAAAGUUUUUCUGCACUCUGAAUGACACACAGCCACAUAAAAUCCAACUCACAAUUGAUUCCCUGAAAUAUCAAACGUGCC